AAGGAAAAUCCAAUACUUUUUAAGCAUACAUGUUUGAUUAUCAACCUUUAUAGAGAUAUAAGGAAUUUAACAGAAACUAAUAAUUAUUUAAAACGUUAAGUUAAUAUUAAUUGCGAACAAUAAUCCUAUGCUUAGUAUUUAUUUAGAAUUAUUAAAAUUUAAAACAGAAACCGGGUUAU
rnacentral:RNase_P_RNA from 1 species